rnacentral:rRNA from 1 species
GUAGGUGGCAAGCGUUGUCCGGAAUUAUUGGGCGUAAAGCGCGCGCAGGCGGUCCUUUAAGUCUGAUGUGAAAGCCCACGGCUCAACCGUGGAGGGUCAUUGGAAACUGGGGGACUUGAGUACAGAAGAGGAAAGCGGAAUUCCAAGUGUAGCGGUGAAAUGCGUAGAGAUUUGGAGGAACACCAGUGGCGAAGGCGGCUUUCUGGUCUGUAACUGACGCUGAGGCGCGAAAGCGCGGGGAGCAAACAGGGAUUAGAUACCCUGGUAGUCCACGCCGUAAACGAUGAGUGCUAAGUGUUAGGGGGUUUCCCGCCCCUUAGUGCUGCAGCUAACGCAUUAAGCACUCCGCCUGGGGAGUACGGCCGCAAGGCUG